AAGAGUUGCAAAACUCCCAAACCAUUGUGAACUUACCUUCAACGUUGCUUCGGCGGGUUGGCUCCGGGUCUCCCGGGGCCCCCGGCCCUCACGGGCGCCCGCCGGAGGUAUCUAACUCUUGAAAUUGUAUGGCCUCUCUGAGUCUUCUGUACUGAAUAAGUCA
rnacentral:misc_RNA from 1 species